ensembl:lncRNA
CACUUACUGUAUGUAUAUUCCUCAGGGAGUGUUGUGGUUGUUUCUUGUCAUAUUUCUAGAUUAUCGGCAAUUAUAUAGUAAGCAUACAUUUCUGUUCAAAGGUUUGGGGGUUGGUAAGAUAUUCUUUAACCAAUUUAAUGCAUUCUUACUGAAAAAAAAACAAUUUAUUCCAAAAAUUCCUGAUUCCGAAUUCCAAAUUUCUGCAUAUGAAUGAAAGUGUUAAAAAAAAAAAACUUUUUUGUCAUACCAGGUUCACAUAGUUAAGAAAACCCAACAGGCCAUAUAAAUUUAAUACAAUCAUAUAAAGUCAUGUUAAUUUCUAUAGUGAAUAUAUUCAUACUCCGCUCUAAAAUUGGGUGAAAAUUCCUCUUUGUGAGCAAAAUCUCUAUUAAAGGAUUUAAAUCGUUCAUUAAUGGAAAAGUCAUGCAAAUUGACUUUUAACUCCUUUCAUCUAUGUAAUUUUGAAAUUUUGAAUGUGAGAACCACAAUCUUAUGUAAUAACUUGAAAUGUUCUUUUUCCCCGAAAAAAAAGUUUAAAUGUGUUAUGAUAGAAAUAGUAAGACUGUAUCAGCGCAAAUGAAAAUAGAUGUCAGUAGUAUUUUGCCUGGGCUUUUUUUCCUCUACAGGAAGGCUCUGAUAAAUUUGUGAGAGCAGGUUUGUUGAUCUGUACUUGCAGGGGUAGUUUUUCUCUCAAAGAGGCAUGAGAAAUACCCUCAGAUGCACCAUUCAUCUCUAUGGCGACCCGACUGGCUUGUAACCUUAGAGAUAUCGUUGCCGACAAUCGCACCUGCCCUCUGUGGACACAAAGAACAAUUUCCAGAGGAGGGGUAAAAUCUGAUUUCUCCCUUGUUCGGUGAAUCCAUCUCUCUGUUUUUAUUCCUCCAUUCUUUCUCUCCUCUCUCUUUCAGUCUCCAGCCCUAUCACCUCUCAUUGACCAUUAUCUAGCAGACAGCUCCUGCUCAUUAAGGAGUUAAUUUUCUUCCCUCUAUCUCUGAUUAGUAUAGUUGAACCUAAAGCACUGCGAAUUCUUUACAUUGUCCCUCACUGUUAUCAAAAAGAGAAAAAGGGGAAUGGGGGGAUAUUUAAUCGUUUAAGUAGUCUUCCUAGGGAGCUGCUGCUGCCGUUUCAGUUUUUUUUUUUUCUUCCCUCUUCCCAGCAAUGUGAAGAAAUCCUGCCGAAGCCGCCCAGCUCAGUAAUUCAGUUUUUAAAGCAUGGAGAAAAAAAAAACGACUUGAUGAAAUUCCACUAUCAGCUCCGAACCAAUAUGCAAAAUAUCUCGCUGGAAAUCAAAUAGCUAUUAUGUUUUCAUUUCCACGUCGGCAUAUUUGCUUAAUGAAGAGGAGACAGAUCAGACCGGUAGAGUCUGCAGGAGGCGAUAACCGUGAACGGCUCGCAGCUAUCCACACAGAGUGACGCUCCCAGUCAGAGAGAGAGAGAGAGAGAGAUGAAGAGUGAAAGAAAGAAGAGAGCAAUGGGGAAAGGAAAGAGCUUGCACAGGCGAGAGAGAGGCAGAGAAAAGUGUCCUGGGCCCACGGCUGUUUGAUGUUUGACAACCUGCUGACAAAUCCACGGCGAGGAUCAGUCAGGCCUGUUUGAAGUGCUCUGGUGCCCAGCGCACAUGAAUAUCAUCCCCACACAUUAUCACCUUACAAUAAUCAGUCAUUAUCAUAAGUAUUAUAAUCACUCAUUCGUGUGAUUUGACUGAUGGAAAUGAGAACAGUAUCUUCCUGCGCUGUUUACUCUUUUUAUUUCGUUAUUAACGGGCCUCAUCAAGUAUAACUAUAUUAUUU